UUUCCGUAGGUGAACCUGCGGAAGGAUCAUUAAUGAAUUUAGAUUGAACCAUAGGCGAAAGCCAGUGGUUCUUCUUUCAUAUCCAUAACACCUGUGCACUGUUGGAUGCUUGCAUCCACUUUUAAACUAAACAUUAUUGUAACAAAUAUAUAUAUUAUGUAUCAUAAAUAAAUAAAAGAUCACUUUCAACAACGGAUCUCUUGGCUCUC
rnacentral:misc_RNA from 1 species